GCGUCAGUAGGUUGGUCGUGCCACCGGGACGUACUGGUCUCACUGAUUCCUCCUUCCUGAAGAACCGUAAUGCCAUUAAUUUGGUGUUGCGGGGAAACAGGACUGUUACUUUGAAAAAAUUAGAGUGUUUAAAGCAAGCUAACGCUUGAAUACAUUAGCAUGGAAUAAUGAAAUAGGACGAUCGAUCCUAUUUUUUUGGUUUCUAGGAUUGACGUA
rnacentral:rRNA from 1 species